UACGUAGGGUGCGAGCGUUGUCCGGAAUUAUUGGGCGUAAAGAGCUCGUAGGCGGCUUGUCGCGUCGGAUGUGAAAGCCCGGGGCUUAACUCCGGGUCUGCAUUCGAUACGGGCAGGCUAGAGUUCGGUAGGGGAGACUGGAAUUCCUGGUGUAGCGGUGAAAUGCGCAGAUAUCAGGAGGAACACCGGUGGCGAAGGCGGGUCUCCGGGCCGAUACUGACGCUGAGGAGCGAAAGCGUGGGGAGCGAACAGG
rnacentral:rRNA from 1 species